CCGGCCUAGCUGUCCAAUGCCCACCCGGAGCUGGGAGGAGGAGCCUACGUAGAGUGCGUGUGAAGGGAGCCGGGGGAACGGGCCAAGGACCACGGUGUUUGACCUGUCGGUCGGUGCUUAAGAAGAAAGGAAAGGAGGAGGAGGUCCAGAGUAACGGUUGCCGAAAUGUACCGGUGUGGAGGCCUGGCGGCGGGUGCUUUGAAGCAGAAGCUGGCGCCCUUGGUGCGGACAGUGUGCUUCCGAGGCCCGAGGCAGAGGAACCGGCUCCCAGGCAACUUGUUCCAGCGAUGGCAUGUUCCUCUAGAACUCCAGAUGACAAGACAAAUGACUAGCUCUGGUGCAUCAGGGGGCAAAAUCGAUAAUUCUGUAUUAGUCCUUAUUGUGGGCUUAUCAACAAUAGGAGCUGGUGCAUAUGCCUACAAGACAAUAAAAGAUGACCAAAAAAGAUACAAUGAAAGAAUUUCAGGGUUAGGGCUGACACCAGAAGAGAAACAGAAAAAGGCCACAUCAUCUGCUCCAGAAGGAGAGCCAGUUCCUGAAGUCAGGGUACCAAGUCACAUUCCAUUCCUGCUCAUCGGUGGAGGCACUGCUGCUUUUGCUGCAGCCAGAUCCAUCCGGGCUCGGGAUCCUGGGGCCAGGGUACUAAUCGUAUCUGAAGAUCCUGAGCUGCCAUACAUGAGACCUCCUCUUUCAAAAGAACUGUGGUUUUCAGAUGAUCCAAAUGUCACAAAGACACUGCGAUUCAAACAAUGGAAUGGGAAAGAGAGGAGCAUAUAUUUCCAGCCACCUUCUUUCUAUGUCUCUGCUCAGGAGCUGCCUCACAUUGAGAAUGGUGGUGUGGCCGUCCUCACUGGGAAGAAGGUAGUACAGCUGGAUGUGAGAGGCAAUGUGGCGAAACUUAAUGAUGGCUCUCAAAUAACCUAUGAAAAGUGCUUGAUUGCAACAGGAGGCACUCCAAGAAGUCUGUCUGCCAUUGAUAGGGCUGGAGCAGAGGUGAAGAGUAGAACAACACUUUUCAGAAAGAUUGGAGACUUUAGAACCUUAGAGAAGAUUUCCCGGGAAGUCAAGUCGAUUACAAUUAUCGGUGGGGGCUUCCUUGGUAGCGAACUGGCCUGUGCUCUUGGCCGAAAGGCUCGAGCCUCGGGCACAGAAGUGAUUCAGCUCUUCCCUGAGAAAGGAAAUAUGGGAAAGAUCCUCCCCGAAUACCUCAGCAACUGGACCAUGGAAAAAGUCAGGCAAGAGGGGGUUAAGGUGCUGCCCAGUGCUAUUGUGCAAUCAGUUGGAGUCAGCGGUGGCAGGUUACUCAUCAAGCUGAAAGAUGGCCGGAAGGUAGAAACUGACCACAUAGUGGCAGCUGUGGGCCUGGAGCCCAAUGUUGAGUUGGCCAAGACUGGCGGACUGGAGAUAGACUCUGAUUUUGGUGGCUUCCGGGUAAAUGCAGAGCUCCAGGCCCGCUCUAACAUCUGGGUGGCAGGAGAUGCUGCAUGUUUCUACGAUAUAAAGUUGGGUAGGAGGCGGGUGGAGCACCAUGAUCACGCUGUUGUGAGCGGAAGAUUGGCUGGAGAAAAUAUGACUGGAGCUGCUAAGCCGUACUGGCAUCAGUCAAUGUUCUGGAGUGAUUUGGGUCCCGAUGUUGGCUAUGAAGCUAUUGGUCUUGUGGACAGUAGUUUGCCCACAGUCGGCGUUUUUGCAAAAGCAACCGCACAAGACAACCCCAAAUCUGCCACAGAGCAGUCAGGGACUGGUAUCCGAUCAGAGAGUGAGACAGAGUCUGAGGCCUCAGAAAUCACUCUUCCUCCCAGCAACCCUGUAGUCCCCCAGGUCCCCGCCCAAGGGGAGGACUACGGCAAAGGCGUCAUCUUCUACCUCAGGGACAAAGUGGUGGUGGGAAUCGUGCUGUGGAACAUCUUCAACCGAAUGCCAAUAGCAAGGAAGAUCAUUAAGGACGGUGAGGAACAUGAAGAUCUCAACGAAGUAGCGAAGCUUUUCAACAUUCAUGAAGACUGAAGACUGCUGUGGAACAGGCAGGCCCUUUGCUGUCCCUGACAGCAGCUUGGGAAGAUACACACCAAGAAUGGACAUCAGCCAGAGCAUCCGUCCUUUGUCAACUACUGCUGCUAGAUCACUUCCUAAAGCAUCACUUGGUCCAUAUCCCCCCCCACCUCCUGGUGACCAACGUACAUUGACUCCCCGUCACCAAUCACAGCAAGUCCGAAGCCUUCCAUAGCGCUCUUGACCUCAGCCCGCUCUUGACCUCAGCCCACUCUGCCCUGUGGGCCUCCUCUGCCACGACUUCACGUGCAUGUGCAUACGCACGUAUACAUCUGGUUUAUUGCCACCUUUAAACUUUUGUUUGUGCUCUUCACACCUGGAACACUGUCCCUCUUCCCUUCUACGUAUCCAAAUCCUGCUCAUCUUUCAAGGCCCAGAUGAAAUCCCACCGUGGUGAUGUAUAGUACCAGUUGGACUAGUGCCCGCGCAUGAUUUCAUCUCUGAACUUCGAUUGCACUUACUGCCUUUGAACUUGAUUGUUCUUUAAGUCGUUCUCUGCAUUAUUAGUGUUCACUCUCUAAAUCGAUUGUAAGCUAUCCCAGAGCAGAGACUUUUUUCUCAGGAUGGGGACAACAUGCGCCAUCCCCCAAAACCCUGGCAAAGUGCUGACCAAGUCCUUGAUUGCUUGGUUGGAUGAUGCUAGAUAACAGGGCUUGUUGUAAGAGUGAGCCUCUCUGCCUUGUAGCCUCAGUUCUCUGUAAUCCAGGUUAUCAGACCCCCAUUACUUCACCCACUGCCAUGACUUGCCACUUUACCCAGGAUGCAUUUAACCUGCUUAGGCCCCCAAGUAUCGCAAGGACCAAGUUCUGACUGUACAGACGACCAGUGCCAGC